CCGAGCCCAGUAACGGAAAGUCGAUAGCGACCACCGCUAGUGCCACCACUCGCCCCCAGGGGCAGCAGGGGUGUGGUGACCGUGCCCCUUGCGCACCAGACGUCCCGCCGUGCCCGACACCGCUGCCAACGGGGAUGACCCCUGUGACCGACAGUCUGCUGUCAGUGGUAGGAGUCGCGACCCAGGUGGAUCGGAGUUCAGAGUCGAGUGCUGCGCCGCCCAGCCGCUGCAGAGUCUGUGCCGGCGAGAUGCCUCUGCUGAGCCCUCGGAACAACGGCCGAAUGGCCCACAACAGCGUGGCGC